UAAAUUUAUACAUUAUACCGUAGACAGUAGGUGCUUUAACGAGCUUAAUUUCCUGCCGAGGUGUGUCUGGAUAUAUAACAGAGUCUCUUUUUGAAAAAAGAAACCUGUGUGCAGUCAUAAACCUCCAUGUCUAUUAAGAUGUUGGAGGUUUUUGUUUUUAU
rnacentral:sRNA from 1 species